AAUGCAGGGACACCAAGCUGAGAACUGACAUCCACCAAGUGAAUGGGGAAGAAGGGGCAGGCUUGGAGUUGAAGUGGCCCAGUAGAGUUCAAAGAGAUCAUUGGCACUGAAGUUACGAGUGAAGGGUCUUAGUUGUCACAUUUAAGAAGCCAUUUAGGAAAACUUUUAAGCAGCUAAGAACAAAGGCUUUUGGACUUGAAAAACCCCAAUCCAGACACCUUCGUCCUUCCUGGCUGCAGGAUCCUGUGCACGUUGAGCUCUUUGAAUCUGCUCCUGUGUCAGCAGCCAAGAAAUUCACUGUACAAGAGAAUCUUACCCGAGAGUCCAGAUGAAAGUGGAACUACUACAUCUAGGUAACGAGGGUGAGGACAGGGCCUGCAGUUUCCUCUGCUUAGACCUCCAUUUCCAUCCCCAAGAACAGUUUGAAA
rnacentral:lncRNA from 1 species